rnacentral:rRNA from 1 species
CUACGGGAGGCAGCAGUGAGGGAUAUUGCACAAUGGGCGCAAGCCUGAUGCAGCGACGCCGCGUGGGUGAUGAAGGUCUUCGGAUCGUAAAGCCCUGUUCUGCGUGACGAGAUUGACGGUAGCGCAGAAGAAAGUGUCGGCUAACUACGUGCCAGCAGCCGCGGUAAAACGUAGGACGCAAACGUUAUCCGGAAUUACUGGGCGUAAAGGGCGCGCAGGCGGAUCUGUAAGUGAGGCAUGAAAGCCCCAGGCUAAACCUGGGGAGGCUGUCUGAGACUGCAGAUCUAGAGUACGAUAGAGGGGUGUAGAAUUCCGCGUGUAGUGGUGAAAUGCGUAGAGAUGCGGAGGAAUACCAGUGGCGAAGGCGGCACCCUGGAUCGUAACUGACGCUGAGGCGCGAAAGCAUGGGUAGCGAACGGGAUUAGAAACCCUGGUAGUCC